AUAGAUGAAAAUAAAAACGUUAUCCUAGAGUAAUCGGGAAGAUGAAAAUUUCAUUGCCUCUAAAAUGUUUCUAAAUAGUUAAAAAAAAUAAUUAGAAAAAAAAAUAAAAGAUAGAUAAGAUCGAUUAGGUUAUUAAUUUAGUUUGGCCAUCUCUUUUCUCUUCUCCUCUCUUUCUUUCUUCUUCUUCUCCGACUUGAGUAUAUCGGCGAUGGAGACGAGAAGCCGGAGAUUAUUAUGGCCAAUCUUGAAAGAGAUCGAGUGCUUUUGACUCUCGUGGCUGAUUCCGACGACAAAGACGAUGGUUCUUCUUAAUUCGAAGCCACGAGUGCUUGUUGUUCAUUAGGGGUUGGGCGUCGAAGAAGUUCAUGACAGGCUGAUCACUGGCAGCUCCAUCUCGAUUCCUAAAUCAUCCGCCAUGACCUCACAAGCUUGUCUACUUCAGGAAACAGGUCAAAGGUUUGUUUCCAUAGAUGUAUUUAAGAUAUAGUGCUGAAUUCCUGACUCCCCAUGGGACAAUGUGUAGCCAGCUUGAUAUAGCCUGAUUUCAAGAGCUAUGAAGUCAAGCAUCGACAAGAAAGAAGAAUGAGUUCUCAUAUAUUAUGUACAGUGGAGAAAACACGUUUGAAUAGUCAAUUCUAUGAGUCUGAUAGUUAUAUAAAUCUCAAAGCUUCUUAAUGAAUGUAAAAUACUAAUUAGUCAAUUUCUU